UUAGUGAUGAAGCACAAAUUCACAGGGAGAGUUUAAGGAAAAGGAGCACAGCAUAAGGUGUCCAUAGAUCAACAUUUACCAAGCUGAUGUUUACUAAGCAUCACACCAUAUCCUGCAUCAUGCAAUGGUUCAGUGAUACCAGAACCUGAAAUUCUAAUAAAAAGAAUCAAUAAGGUAACAAAAUAAGGCUAACCUAGACGUGGUUUCAGCAGCUCAUAGAGAAGCAAGGGAAAGAUGUGCAAACAACCUCCUAAAGUCUUAGAAGUGAAUCCAUCACUACUAACACACUCAAUUGGAGAAGUUCAGAAUAAAAAAGACCCUAGAAGGAGAAGGUAUCUGAUUGAAGAAGUCUGAUUGCUUCUGGGAAGUGAAGUGGAAGUCUGGCCGUGAAUGUAAAGUGCUCCUGGCUACAGCUCUUCAGAGCAAUUUUUCUUGCCCUGUCAGGUGAGUUCAACAAAGUAGAAAAGUUAUGGUCUGUCUAGAGGCUCGACUUGUAAAGGAUGUUUACUUGUAAGGCUAUUUGACUGCACUUAGUGCACUGAAGAACAAUCCUUUGACCUCAUGAUGAGUAAAGGAGAGACAGAAUGAAAUGUUGCAUUCAGAGGGCACCACUCUGUGAGACGUAUGGGCUAGCGUGACAGAGAUAUUCCCCUUUAAUUAUCCAAAGAAAUCCCACUGUUAACUUUAAAUUGAUAGAGUCCAGAAAACAGACAGUGAUUCAGAGGUAGAACAAAAAACAUAAAACACAAAUAUUUGUGUAAUGUCUCAAUGCAUUGAGAUUUAAACAUAAUAAAUAGGUUUUAUUAUAAAUUUACAAAUUGUACGUUUGUGGCCACUUUUAUAUGUAAUCUCAUAUUUCAGAUGUAAAAGGAGGACACUAAUACUUAUUGAAGAGUUAAUUUGAUAUAUGCUUCUCUUAAGAUAUACAUUUUCAAUCAUUUCAAGAAUAUAUUCACUCUAAUUACUUAAAUUGUAAUUCAUUCUAAGCUAAAUUUAUACAUUGUAUUUCACUAUAAGACCCACAUUCUUUUCACUACUGAAUGUCUCUGAAACCAGGUUGCUUUAUUAAAAUGGAUAAUGUAUCAGAAAUUAAUUGACAGCAUUUUGUCAUUCUUAAUAGUGUGGAAUAUAACGGUAUUUCGUCUGAUGGCUCCUUGGCUUUAAUAUAUGACAGUUGUUGCACCACUGAUUUCUCUAGAAAUUCUACCCUGCUCACUUCAUCAAUGCUCUUAACCUUUAUUUUGUUCUCUCCUUGUAGGAUGAUUCUAUAAUUUAUCUUCCAACUCACAACUCUUACGAAAGUGAAGAGGGUGCUGAAAAUAGUUGUGCUAAGGUAUUAGGUGAUAAAAAAGGCCCUGUCCCAAUUAAACUAGAACUCUCACCCCAGAGAAGGGGAUACUGGCAUACACACAUGGCUUCAUGACCUGCCUUAGUGCACAAACAUAUACACACAGUCACAGCCCAUCCAGGAACUUCUAAUUAAGAUGUAUGACCUGCGAUGGCUAUCCUAAGAAAUCUCUCUUUUGUUUUUAGGAGAAAAAAGUCUUAAUAAAAUAUUCACUUUGGGUGUCUAAAUAGAUGUUGGAUAAGUUCUUAAAAUAUUUUUUAGUGAUGUAAAUGUACUACCUCUAAACUUGUUUAAAAUUGUCACUGGCAGGGCUCAUAGUAUUUACCUAUUUAUCUAUUCAUUCAUUUUUAUAUAAUUUUGUUUUACAAAGUGUAGAAUACACACUAGGUUAUUAUUAUAGAAGGAAUAAAUGAAUUUGAGCUUAUUGUAACAUCAUUUAUUUCUUCAUUGAGUAUGGAAAACAGACCUGAAUGAAAUUCAGCUUGACAUUAGUUACCUAAUGAUUGUCUUAGGGUCAGGAUGAAAGAUUUGAAAGCUAAAAUUGUAAAGAAUUGGAACAUCAAAAGGAGUUUAUUGCUUUAUAAAUACAAUUAAUUAUAUAUUGUGUUAUUAAUAUUCGACAUUUCUCCCAAAUAUGUACAGAAAUAACAUUUUAGGAAACAGCCUAUUGGCAGUAACCGUUAUAUAGAAAUUUGUAUUAUUUAGGAAAAUCAAGAUAUUAUAGAAAAUGGGACCUUAUAUACGAACACUUCAGAAGCUGAGUCUUGUAAAUGAUAAGAUGAAUUUUUUUCAUUCCAGAAAGAGAAGAGACUAAAUAAAUUCUGUCGUAUUUGAUAAACUUAGAUACCACACGUAUCUUUUUUGAGAUGGUUAUACUAGUGAUAUUGGAUUUCAUAUAUAGUCAAUGAAUAAAAAAUAGUCUGUGUGAAUGUUUGACUCAGAUGUAUUUUAUGCAAAUUUAAGUACGGUUUCAGUAAGCACUGAAAAUAUAGCAUUAUUCACUAUUCUAAAAUCUUCUGGUUGAUUGGGAAAUUUUAACAUAUUUCAAAAGACUGCAUUUUGGGCUGGUUCUUUAUACCCAAAAGAGUUUCCAUUAUAUGGUAGAAGCAAUGGUAAAAAUAAUUGCAAAUCUGUUGUUUCAUGAGUUGGAAAUUUUUGGGGAAUUCUAAGAUUUCCUUUCAAAAGUCUCUGCAUCUCUGUGUGAUUUUUUUACUGAGCCAUUUCUUGUGUCAUCAAAUGGCAGUAUUCAGGAUGUGAAUAGUUUCCUAUCAGAGGUCGAAUAUUGUGGGUAGAAGCCCUAAAUAGAAAAUCUAGAGAUCACUAUUUAAAUUGUAGAUCUUCACAUUUUGGGGGCAAGGCAUGAAUCAUUGAGUUGGUCAGUAUCAUAGUCUAAAGGUCAUAAUGGUCAUUGUGGGGGAUAAAUAUCAAGUAUUCACUAAAGCAGGUGGUGAUUCUGUGGGUCUCCUGAGAGGUAUAGCUAACCAAAAUGCAACCUCCAACCUAUGGGCAGAUAUUUUCAUUCUUUACAGCCCUGAGAUUAAAGAAGUUAGGGCUGGAUGCAGUGGCUCACGCCUGUAAUCUCAGCUACUUGGGAGGCUGAGACAUGAGAAUUGCUUGAACCCAGGAGGUGGAGGUUGUAGUGAGCCAAGAUCACACCAUUGCACUCCAGCCUGGGCACCAGAGGGAGGCUCUGUUUCAAAGAAAAAAAAAAGAAAAGAAAAAUAUCUGUUGAAUAUGGUGCUGGAUACCUCAGUUGGUUGUAACGGUGUAUUUUCUUAGAAAUAUGGUAAAAUUUACUAUAUACACAUUUAAAUGUAAAGCUACAGGAAUGUUUUCUGUACAGUAGAUAAAAUUUGCAUUGUUAAUCUGUUUUUAUUGGCAUGAUUUAUAACUGAUUUUCUGGAAUAGAUAACAGAUUUUCAUUGAUCCAUACUCACUAGCUUUUAGAUCUCAAAACUCACGAGUAGUAGUUAGAAGAGCUAAAAAAUUCUGGGAAAGAGGAUGAGUAUAAGGAGAGAGACUAAGUAGCCUGAGAUAAGAAACUAGAUGUCUUAACCAUUAUGAAAAUAGAAAAGAAAGUAAUUUUUAUAUAUAUACACACACACUAUAUAUAUAUACACAUUCAAUAUAUAUGCACAAAAUAUACAUUAAAUAUAUAUGUUGAAUGUAUAAAAUCAUAUUUUAUAUAUUUACACACACAUAUAUAUAGGGCAAUUCCAGGAGAGGAUAUAAAAUGUGUACAAAUACUCUUGAAGCUAAUUUAAACAUAAAACACUUUUUGUCUAAUGUAAUCUUAUAAACUAGUAAUCCAUCUUCAAUCUGUUUUAAAAAUGUUGCUUUGAGUGGAGGAAUGACAGCUGAAGAAUACAAAUGUUAUAUGGACAUAUGAAAACAUAUAUAUGCUUACAACUG
rnacentral:lncRNA from 1 species